CUUUCGUUCAAAACCAUCCCUCUCUAUUCUUCUUCCUCACUUUCCUUCUCUCUCUCUCGUCUUCUCUUCCACUUACCUCUUUUUAUGAAAUUUUAUGAAACCCUAAUAUGCCGCCGCCGAGUCACCAAAGUUCAAGCAAAGAAAGAACCGAAAAAGAUAACAACAAAUGGCAUUUGGAUUAUGAUCGAUAAUCAAAGAUCCAGCAAUCGACAGAGAACGGUGAAGAUCUGAUGCACGUCCAACCGGCAUCGACAUAGCCCUCGCCAAUCUUUCUCGGGAAUCACGUGACACUAUCUACAUUACAACCAAGUAAGUAAAAUUUGGACUCAUUCACUCAUUCAUUCAGAUUCGUAAAUCAUGAUUCUUGCAGUUGUUUAUUUGUGUUGUUGUUCUUGGUUUUAAAGACCAGUGAUAUGUAUUGGAUUAAUUCCAAUAUUUUGCAUAGGAUAUGUAUUUUUUAGUUUUUUUAUUUUGAUUUUUGUAUAAUGCUUUUCGAUGAUUUUGACACGAACUACCUGGGACUGCAACAAAGUUACAACAGCAAGGCGUGGAUCUUAUGGCGGAGUUCGAUUGGAAAAAAACGGUUGCCUUCCAGAUUUGUAUCGAAGUUGCCUCAAAGAAUGGUGGGUUUAGGGUGAACAGCAGAUGGCAGACUUUGUGGAAAGUCAGUUUUUGGGUGAACAGUGUUUCUUUUUAUCAGAUAGAUCUUGGUGGUGGAAAUUUAUAUACUAAUAGUCGGGACUGGAUUCAUUAUCGGAUCUUUGCUGUUUUGCUACAUCCAAACUAGCUUUGGUGUUGUUAUUUGCUGGAGCUAUGGCGGCUUUGUUGCAUUAUGACUCGAGGCGUUUAUAGCCUGAAGAAUUCCAAAUGGCUUCAGGAAAAUAUUACGGAUACGCAUAUGGUGAGUGACUGUUGAGAUGAAUUUAUGUGUUUUCGUCUCCGAUUAUAUGGUAUCUUAGAAACUCAUAUUUCAUUUCAAUCUCUCUUUCACUAUUUCUCACUCUGUUCAUAGUUGGAACUUAAUGUUUUGUGACUUUUGAACCAUUUAGCAAUGACCUUACUAUGGUACUUGGACAACUAAUACACAAUAUUUUUGAUUGCAUUGGUGAGCUAGAGAUGAUUUUCAGAAUUAACACUUAUAAGUGGCUGCCCAUAUCUUCAAUUGAUCUGGCUGCCCAUAUCUAUUUCAUUUGUUGCUCAAGUGAAGGUAUCUGAAGGUUGAAUUUUAGAGUCUUCUCUAGCAAAUCCACAUGCUGAUUAGAAGGCUGUAGUAUCAAAUGUACAGAAUCAAAGAUUGCUUCCAAGUUAUCAACCACAUCUUGGUUAUGCUACCUUGAUCUUAGGAUAAACAAACUCAUAUUAUAAACCUGAUAAAACAUUGUUAACACCAUUAUGGACUCAGAAAUUCAUGCUAAUAAAUAUGCAACCAUUUACACAUCUGGAUACAGAAUCACAUUUGAUAUUUCUGAAUCUUUUAUCACAAGCCUUCUUUUAGGUUUUGGCGGGUCGGUAGCCUCGAGUUGCAAAAGAAGAAAAGCACAAAACAAUUCCCUUUGUACAUCCAAGUGUGAGAUUGUGCAGCAUAGAUUCGGACAAAGGUGUUGAGUUGGUUUGGAUGAAGAGACAUUUAUAAGUAUGCAUAAGUGUCUGAGACAUUAAAAUAGAAGAAGAAUGAUUUUAAAUUCAUAGUUUUCUUGAAUUUGUUACAUGCAUAUUUGAAGAAUUAGUGGUAA